AGGAAGCUGGCUGGGGACUCCAGGAGAAAGAUAAUGGCAGUUAACGCUGAGGAGGAGGCGUGGAAAGGGAGAGACGUGCGUGGCCUUGAGACAUAUUCAUAAAACAGAACAGCAACGCGACUUGGAAAUGGUCCCGAAGGAGAGGAGGAUCCAGGGCAGCUCGGAUGGCUCAGGCACCUGGCUGCAUGAAUGCCUGCUCAUGGAAAGAAGAAUUCAAACUGUGAGGUGGUGGGAACCCCUAGGAUCUUUCAUAACGAAGGGACUCAACGGUUCAGAAGGCUGGCACUCGAUGGGCACCCCCUUCCAGAGUCUCCUGCCUUGAAGGACAGUUCUGCCUCUGGGGCUGGUUGGUUGGUUUGUCACAUGGGAGAUAAGAGAGUGGGCCUGCGCAUUGAAGGGAUGGACCAGAGGGGAAUCCUGGGCCCAUGCCUGGGGCUUGGCCUGUACCCUGUGCCGGGAAAGGAGGCCUGUUCUCAGCAGAGCAGCCUGACGGAGCCUCUAAGAUGUUCAGCGAGAUGACAUCACUCCUCCAUUUCAAGCCCUGCAGUGACUGCUCACAUCAUCAUCACUCGCCUCCCUGCCCUGCAUCAGCUGGCCCUUCCCCCUCCGACCUUGGCUCCUGUCUCCUCCCUCCAGCUACACAGGUUCCCAGAGUUCCAUGAGCACCAGGCAUGCUUCUGCCA